rnacentral:rRNA from 1 species
AUUGAACGCUGGCGGCAGGCCUAACACAUGCAAGUCGAGCGAGCGGCGGACGGGUGAGUAAUGCCUGGGAAUUGCCCAGUCGAGGGGGAUAACAGUUGGAAACGACUGCUAAUACCGCAUACGAUUGGAUUGCCCAGGUGGGAUUAGCUAGUUGGUGAGGUAAUGGCUCACCAAGGCGACGAUCCCUAGCUGGUCUGAGAGGAUGAUCAGACACACGGGAACUGAGACACGGCCCAAACUCCUACGGGAGGCAGCAGUGGGGAAUCUUAGGCAAUGGACGAAAGUCUGACCGAGCAACGCCGCGUGAGUGAAGAAGGUCGGAGGGUCGUAAAGCUCUUUUGUUAGGGAAGAGGUAACUAACCAGAAAGGGAAGGCUAAAUACGUGACAGCAGCCGCGGUAAUUC